GCGAGAGUGGCGGAAUUGGCAGACGCGCUGGACUUAGGAUCCAGUGGGGCAACCCGUGCAGGUUCGAUUCCUGUCUCUCGCACC
rnacentral:tRNA from 1 species